CGAAAGCGUGGGUAGCAAACAGGAUUAGAUACCCUGGUAGUCCACGCCGUAAACGAUGAGUGUUAGGUGUCUGGAAUAAUCUGGGUGCCGCAGCUAACGCAAUAAACACUCCGCCUGGGGAGUACGCACGCAAGUGUGAAACUCAAAGGGAUUGACGGGGACCCGCACAAGCAGCGGAGCAUGUGGUUUAAUUCGACGCAACGCGAAGAACCUUACCAAGUCUUGACAUAUUACGGAGGUAUGUAGAGAUACGUACUUACUUCUUCGGAAGACUGUAAUACAGGUGGUGCAUGGUUGUCGUCAGUUCGUGUCGUGAGAUGUUGGGUUAAGUCCCAUAACGAGCGCAACCCCUAUUGUUAGUUACCAUCAUUAAGUUGGGGACUCUAGCAAUACUGCCGGUGACAAACCGGAGGAAGGUGGGGAUGACGUCAAAUCAUCAUGCCCUUUAUGACUUGGGCUACACACGUGCUACAAUGGCAGGUACAGAGGGAAGCGAGACUGCGAAGUUAAGCAAAACUCAAAAAGCCUGUCCCAGUUCGGAUUGCACUCUGCAACUCGAGUGCAUGAAGUUGGAGUUGCUAGUAAUCGCAGAUCAGAAUGCUGCGGUGAAUGCGUUCCCGGGUCUUGUACACACCGCCCGUCACACCAUGGAAGUUGGCAAUACCCGAAGCCUGUGAGCUAACCU
rnacentral:rRNA from 1 species